rnacentral:rRNA from 1 species
CGUAUUACAGAGGGAAGCGAAGCCGCGAGGUGGAGCAAAACCCAAAAAAGUAAGUCUCAGCUCGGAUUGAAGGCUGAAAUUCGCCUUCAUGAAGCCGGAAAUUGCUAGUAAUGGCAGGUCAGCAUACUGCCGUGAAUACGUUCCCGGGCCUUGUACACACCGCCCGUCACACCAUGAGAGUCGGGAACACCCGAAGUCCGUAGUCUAACUUUCACGAGAGGACGCGGCCGAAGGUGGGUUCGAUAAUUGGGGUGAAGUCGUAACAAGGUACC